CUCCCCCUUCUCUCUCUCGCUCAACCUCUCUCUUCUCCCACGUUCCUCUCCACCAUCGUCAUCCCCCACGCCUGCUCCCUUCUCCUCACGUUCUCCUGUCCCCCACGCCUAUUCCCCGCUCCUUCGUCUCUCUCAUACGCUCCUCUCUUUCUUCAAUACAAAUGAAACCCUAUAAAUACAAGGCGAUUUGAAUCGUUUGGGGGAGAUUAUUCAGUUUUGGGGAGGGAACCAAAGAUCGUUUUAGAACGAGGGGAUUUUUGGGGAAUAGAUGGGUAUUUUCUAAAAUCUGGAGUUUCUUUUGUUUUCAAAAAAACAUGGUCUUAAACAUUUUCAAAUCAGAAAAUACUUUCUGUUAUGAGAUUUGUAUUGAAAAGUUAAAUUUUCAUAAUUCGAUCAACUUUCGUCGUUGUUCGGCAAAAGAACUUUAAUUAGAAUAGAGUACUUUAAUUUUGACUCGAGUGUUGAAUCGGUCAAUACGAGAGUAGAUUCGAGGCCUUGACGUCCCCAUUUCACUGCACCACCAACAGGUAAAAUUUGAUGCCAUUUCGACUCAUCGUUUUGUUAAAAUUGUGUUAGUAUAAAAGAAAUCAUGUUUAAUAUCUUGUUGUUGCCCUUGUGAUUCGAAACUUGUUUGCAUUUCUUUUCGUGUAGUAGCUGAAGUUGACGAAUGAUAAGUAGACAUUAAGGUUCGUGUUUUAGUUGUUACCAUUUGUUAAUAUUUAGAUAUAUUUUAUGAAGGCUUUAUAAACCAGAUUAUGUCUAGCUCUGUUUUGUGGAGUUUCUGAAUGUGAAGUUCUUCUCCCAGUUUUCAUUCCAAUUUGUAUGAGUCUAGUCUAGUUAACCUUAGUUUGAAAUGAUAAUUAAAUCUGUCUUCCGUUUAAGUUGUUGGCUGUCGACGAUUGCAUGGAUUAAACUGGUUCGAUUUGUCCAGAGCACGCUCUGUUUAUGAUUUGGUUAGUUUCAUAUGGAUUUAGGUAGUAGAGAAUGGCUAGGGGCAGUACAGGGCUGCUCCUUAAUUUACACGAAUUCACUCACAUGUUCGAUUAAUUUAGUGAUAACAGCGAAUUGAGCUUAGCAUACACUACAAGAAAAUUAAUUUUUAACGACCACUUGUCAACGACCGGACAUGAAAGCAGUCGUUAUAAUUGUACUUUUAGCGAGAAAUUAUUUUUCCGGUCGCUAGAGUCUAUUUUUAAGUUAACAGUAACGACAAAAAAAUAUCCGAUCAUUAAAAUAUAUGACAUCCGAUCGUUAAAGCUUAGAUUUAAAGAAAGGAUAAAAAACUAGCACCACAUUUUCCCUCAAAUUUUGUCCACUCCCUAUGCAACCCCCCCCCCCCCCCCUCCCACACAACCAAAACGCCAACCCCCAAAUAAAACAACAGAAAGCCCUAGAUAUAAACAAAAGGAUUUAGCAACACAAAUCUCCCAUACGCUCUAGGUUUUAUAUUUUCAUUCAGAAUUCUUCGAUUUCUUUAUCUAAUGGGGCUUUCUUCUUCUUCAUCAUAAUUCAUGUUGUUCUUCAAAAGGUAUGCGUAGAAUCGCUUUUGGCGAUUGUAUUUUUUCCUUCUCUGUUAUUUACUUUGAAAACAGAACUUCCUAAAAAUUUCCAAGGCUUGUAAGGAAGGUACUGUUGCAGUUUGUUGCAUCUGAGUGUUAGAUGUCAGAAUGAAAGUAAUUGUUUGCAUUUGGCUGUCUUUAGAGGUUGAUUUUUUCCUUAAUGUUAUAUGCACUGAACGUGGGGAAAAGACAUAUUUUAAACUGUUUAGUACGGAUUUUUCAAUAUAUUUAAGUUGUUAAAAUCCUUAAUUUGAGGUUUCAUUCUAGUUAGAGCUAACUAGUCCUCAUGCGGAAAUACUGGUUUCUGAUGAUGGUGUAUUUUGGAUUUUAUGGUGAAAAUUUUGAUAAGUAUUUAGAUUGAAGAAUUAGAUAGUUUCCUUUGCUAAUUUUGAUGACUGCUCUUUGUUCAUUUGUUUUUGGUAUUGGUAUAACCUUACAUGACAUAUGAUUUUUAUUUUCUUUUUUCCAUCUUGGUUUAAUUCGAUCUCUAAUUUCCUCAUUCACUGGCAUUUGUACCUGAUUCACCAUUUAGGGUUGAAGAUCCACAAUACGAGGGCUUUAAGUGCUUUAUAUUUAAAGCUACUGUUGUUUUAUCAUAAGCAAAGAAAGUCAAUUUGAGGGGAAAAUAUUAUUUAUUUUUGUGUUAUUCACCAGGUUGAUAGACCUGCUAUUUACCAAGGUUAAUCUCUUGGCUUGUCUGCUCCUCGAACAUCAUAGUUUUUGCCUUUUGCUAUGUGCCUAUGGAUUAUUAUGUUUUUACUUUAUACAACAACAAAAGAACAGUGGUCUAUAACUUUUGUCUUUUCUUUUUAAAAUUAAGUAUGAGUUUAUAGAACAUUUGGUUAGCCUAUAUUUGAAGUGAAAGAUGCAGUUUAGGGAAAUGGAUAGAAAAGUUGUUAGCAGAUAGUUCUUAGCUUUAUUAACAGUGUCUCUCCCUCCUCUCAGCAAAUUUAAGGAGUUAUUUUUCUUCAGGUGCUCUGUUUUUGAGGUGUGAGUGUCUACAUUGAACUCUGAAACUGUUGCACAUUAAAUACCUCCUUAUUCACAUUAUCGAUCAACAACUUGUUCACUGAGUCUGGCUAAUCUUUAUAAUCAUUCAAGCACUGGCAGCUUGUAUCUGUUAAGACUUUAACCUAGCUUAUUUUUGCUGAUGCUAAAGAACAUUUUUGCUCAUGUUAAUGCUAGAGCCCGCCUGUUUGAAUAUCCAGUUGCCAUGUGAUAUUUCAGGAAAAUAUUCAGUUGUUUGGAACCAAAUAUGUCUAAUAUGAUAAAUGUUGUGAAAAUGCUGCCAUUUAAUUAAUUUGAACAAGCAAACAAAUUGAAAAUUGGUUAUUAAAUGUGACACAUUCAGUGCUAUAUCACCAGCAACCUUAUUUUUCUCCUCCAUCUUAAAAGAGUAUAAUUACCUUUUCUUCCCUAAUUAACUAUGCUGAUUAAUGGUUAUUUUAGUUGUCUAAUUUGUGUAUAUAUGUUGCCUGCACUAUUUAGCUUGGUGAAAACAUUUAAGACAACAUUUUUGUUACUAGUUAUCCAUACGUGGUUUUUCUUGCGAUGCUUGAAACAUAAGGUGUUGAACUGGGACAAUAUUUGUAUGAGAUUUAUAUUCAUGAUAUGGAGCCGAGAGUUUCUAAAGCUGGGGUAAGUUACAGAAUUCCGAUACAGAAAAUCUACAAUAGUUCUUCUCGGUUACUAAUUCAAAUGGUUCAUGUGAAACAUGUGGUUCUGAUGAGGCAAGUCUGAUAAGUUCUAUGGAUGACAUCAUGGUAAGAAUCCAUGUUUGUUAGUUCAAUUUCUUAAAAAUUAAAUUUCUGUUUACUAUUGGAUAAUUUUGAUUACAUGUUUAUUAUGAUUUGAGAAUUGCAAGUUACUGGAUAUUUACUAUUAAAGAGUUACAAUAUCAUUAACAUACUCUCUACUAUGCUCAUGACGAACUUUAGUUGUUUUGCCAUACAAUGUGCCAUCAAAUGUUGUAGGUUUGAGAACAAAGUAAAACUAUAAAAUCUAUUCUUGGAAAGUAAAAAACUGAGUGUUUAAACAUUCUUACAGUACUUCAUAUCUUUGAAGAGUAUAAACAAAUAUGAGGUACUAUGCUUAAUAAUAGUAUGACGAAGUUAUUGCUUGACAAACUGAUAGUAGUAUUAGAAUUUUCCUGCUCAAUUUAUUAUUUGAGAGGACAGAAUGUCGUAAAAUUAUAAAAUCCUAUAUAGUGGCAAAUGGACCAACCUCUACUGUUGCUGCUAAUUUACUUGACCACUUCUCAUUUCUCUUUUUUAGUUUCCUACGUUUUCUCUGUUGACUCUAAAUCACGUUAAAUUCAACAUUUUGAUGUUUUCUUUGAAUGAUACAAGACUUAAUGGGUCCUGUCCGAGUCCGCAAUGGAGAACCCAAAAGGUAUUUUUUUACUGUGGAUGUUCUUUUUUCUCUUGUAUUUUAGAUUGCAUAUCCAAAUAUAUAUUUUUUUUUGGCUGAAGCUGAGUACUCCUAUCAUAAUUAUUUGACUAAUUUCAUAUUUGUUACAAAGCUGUCAUUUUCUAGUUGCAACUUUUGUUCUUUUUGAUGUCCUAAGCGUGUAGGAUUUUGUUUGUGAAGAAACAGUCUGCAAGAAAAGCUAUUUCUGGUGCAAUAACAACUAUAUUUUGAACUCCAGGCUCCUCCUUAUCCAAUGAUUUUGAAUUUGAAGUAUGAAGAACCUGCUCGAGAAGAAAUUUUGCACCAAGUGAAAGUGUUACAGAACAAGUUGAACUAGCUGAAGCACAAGAGGCCUAUUCUCUAUUUUAUUAGGAGUUGUUUAAAAUUGUUCGAAUUUGUAUAUAUUGCUACAAUAGUAUUUUCAUUUUUUGGUUAGGAGUUGACAGAUAAUUUCAUACAGUUCUUUGUAAUAAACUAUGAAAGUUUAUAUGAGUAUUAAUUAUUUUGUAUAUGUAGGUAUGUUUAUGCCAAUGAAUAUGAAAUAAUAUUAUUACUAUUUAGAUUUUAAAUACUAUUGAAAGUUAAUAGAUACAAAAGACACUUUUUAAUGACUGGAUUUUUUGUAAUGAUUGAAGGCUUUUAACGACUUGAAUGACAAUUAGCGAAGGGAAUAUUUGGUUGUUAAAGGAGAUUUAACGACUGGAUUUGUUGUGGUCGCUAGCACUCUAUUAACGACCGGAUUGUAAAUCCAUCCGGUCGUUAAGUUUUAACGACAGAGCUUUUAGUGACCAGCGACGAUUGGAUUUUUUUCCGUCGUUAUUAACUAUUAAUGACCAGAUCAAGGCUUUUAGCGACCGUAUUUCCUCUCGUUGAAGACCUAUUUUCUUGUAGUGAUAUAUGUGUUAGGUAUGUGUGGGUUUGUACAUUGUAGAAUCUCAGAAAUGUGUGAAGGAGCAUAUGUGCCUGCUUUGAACAGUUCUUGAAAUGCAUGAUGGUUUUCUUUGAUAACAUGGUUGUUGUCAUACUAUGUCAAAAAAGACACUGUUGGAGUUUAUCCCUUUUAAAUUCUAUAGUAUAUUUCACUUCUAAAUUCUUCCUACCUAGCUGGUUAAACACAGUCAUGUAAACUCUGGGCAUUCAUAUCCCCUGGAUUCCGUAGAUAAAAAGACUCAGAAAUUAAUUUAGCAGACAUUUUCCUUGUCUAUUCUUUACCCCUUUCUCAUUCAAUCAUAUCCCAUAAGUUUUGCAUUUUCAUAUCUGUUUUAGCUGAUCGUAUUCGAUAUAGGAAUUUGUUUGUUUCUUCAGUUUGUUUACGUUAUAGUAAAUGUAAUGUUUUGAAUUUGUUUGGCAGAAGUUCUUUAACUUUCUUCUUUAUCCUUCAUAAUCACUUUAAUCGGGUUUUCUUUCUAAUCCUUUUUAUCUUCUUUCUUUGCAUGAACUGGGAAUUUCGAAUCCCAAAUAUCCUCGAGUUGCUCGAUGACUUUGCUGCCACAUUCACGAGACAACGUUGCUUAUUGCUGUUGUUUUCUCUGUGACGAGUGUCGCGUCUCUUAGGCGAAAAUUUGACAUGUUUAUGGUUUAAGCCAACUGCUGGCCAUAAGUUGCUGAUUACGCCUCUGUCUUUUGUUUUUCCUUUCCAAGUUUGAACUGCCCUGGUUAUACAGAAGCCUUGUACCUUGGCUGAAUGUCCCAUUAAUUUGUUCCGUUUUUGUUUACUUGUUUGCUCUAUUUGCAUGUGUGAUAUUUGUUGAACAUUAAGACUAAUAAUCAAUUUUAGUCAUACUAAUUUCAUGUAUAA